rnacentral:rRNA from 1 species
UACAGAGGUCUCAAGCGUUGUUCGGAUUCAUUGGGCGUAAAGGGUGCGUAGGCGGCGCGGUAAGUCGGGUGUGAAAUCUCGGAGCUUAACUCCGAAACUGCAUUCGAUACUGCCGUGCUUGAGGACUGGAGAGGAGACUGGAAUUUACGGUGUAGCAGUGAAAUGCGUAGAUAUCAGGAGGAACACCGGUGGCGAAGGCGGGUCUCUGGGCCGUAACUGACGCUGAGGAGCGAAAGCAUGGGGAGCGAACAGG